AUUGAACGCUGGCGGCAGGCCUAACACAUGCAAGUCGAACGGUAACAGGAAGAAGCUUGCUUCUUUGCUGACGAGUGGCGGACGGGUGAGUAAUGUCUGGGAAACUGCCUGAUGGAGGGGGAUAACUACUGGAAACGGUAGCUAAUACCGCAUAACGUCGCAAGACCAAAGAGGGGGACCUUCGGGCCUCUUGCCAUCGGCUGUGCCCAGAUGGGAUUAGCUAGUAGGUGGGGUAACGGCUCACCUAGGCGACGAUCCCUAGCUGGUCUGAGAGGAUGACCAGCCACACUGGAACUGAGACACGGUCCAGACUCCUACGGGAGGCAGCAGUGGGGAAUAUUGCACAAUGAGCGCAAGCCUGAUGCAGCCAUGCCGCGUGUAUGAAGAAGGUCUUCGGGUUGUAAAGUACUUUCAGCGGGGAGGAAGGGAGUAAAGUUAAUACCUUCGCUCAUUGACGUUACCCGCAGAAGAAGCACCGGCUAACUCCGUG
rnacentral:rRNA from 1 species